UACGUAGGGUGCGAGCGUUAAUCGGAAUUACUGGGCGUAAAGCGUGCGCAGGCGGUUCGUUGUGUCGGCGGUGAAAGCCCCGGGCUUAACCUGGGAAUGGCCGUUGAAACUGGCGAACUGGAGUGUGGCAGAGGGGGGUGGAAUUCCGCGUGUAGCAGUGAAAUGCGUAGAGAUGUGGAGGAACACCGAUGGCGAAGGCAGCCCCCUGGGCUGAGAUUGACGCUCAGGCACGAAAGCGUGGGGAGCAAACAGG
rnacentral:rRNA from 1 species